CACUGACUGAUACUUAAAGCAAUCGUUUCGAAUUAACCUGCGCGUUUUAAUAUUUUGCUCGAGCGGUAAGGUCAGUUUUCGAUAUAAACGUUUUUUUACAAGAUGUUUCUUAAGACUGUAUUACUACUGGCUAUUGCAGGUUAUGCUGUUAAUGGACAAUUUGAUACCAGUUCUUGUGGAGACUUUAAUUCCAAAAUUGACCAAUGUUAUACAGAAAAUGGUUUGCCAAUACGUUCUGAUGUGCGAUCACUGUCAGAUGUACAACAAUUAUUCCUUAAAGACACAACUGUUAUAUGCGGUUCAUCGAAAGACAGCUUUAAGAAUGCCGUGGGUUGUUUUAUUGACCUACUUAGAAGAUGUAUAUCGGAUAACGAGAAGAAAUUGGUAGCUACUUCAAGUAAUUAUAAAGCAGCAUAUGAUCUACUCUGUAGUGACGGACCUACCAAUAGAACCUGUGUUGGACAAUACGUAAGAAAUUGUUUAGUCAGUUCAUUGACUGCUGACGGCCUCGAUCCACAAGGGCCAUACACCAGCGACACUUACGACCUCAAAAAGAGUCAGAUGUGCAAGCAGGCGGAAUAUUAUUUGACCUGUGUAAACAAACCACCAGUGACACCGACGUGUAGAGCAGUCUCCAUAGAAAAGGACCGUAAAAUAGUUACCAAACUAUCACCUGAAGCAUGCGGGGCUAUGUCCAUAAUUUACACAUCCCUACUUUUGGCCGCUUCUCUUUUUGUCGCUGUCUGCAAUGUCAUUGUAUAAUAUUGUCUACAGUCUGUUUCUAUUCUUGUAUUUUUGUUACAUUCUCUUAAUUAUAUAUUUAGUAUGUUGUCUGUUAUAUGCGUAUGAUCCGUUAACAUCCUCUAUACGAUUGAUUGUUCAGAAUUCAUGAUGAUUUUAAAUCGGAUAUUUUUUAACUGCUCAAGUAAAUAUGGUUCUCUGCAGGUUAUAUCAACAUAUCAGCCAUUUUUGUUUUGGAAUUAUGUCUUUACUCAUUGCGCCCAUCUAUCAGUUCACAAACAGUUUAAAUUCAAUAAAGAUCAGAUGUAAUUAAGGUUUGUUUUUACUUCCUGGAAUUGUUGUGCUAGUUGUAAGGAAGCAAGCCAGAUGUGUUGAACAAUUAAAAGAAGGAUUUCUAAAUCACCCAUGAUUAGUGACUAUGCCAGUAUAAUUAAUUGUGAUUUGAAUUUUAAUUUUUUAAAUUCAAUGUACAUGUAUAACAACUUCAUAGAAGUUGAUAUUAACAAGAAACUGAAGACAGUGAGACUACUGUGCAGCCUGUUCACAAAACGUGAUUAAGGACAAAAAGAUAACUGUAGAAUUUACUACAGAAAACUCUAUAAAAAGCUAUAGAAUACUUUAUGUUUGCCUUUAGAAAUUUUAGCAACUAAUGCCAUCAUUAAACAGAUAACGGAACUCAACACCUCCGUUAAAUAUAACGCCAAGUUAACUACACGUUAAAGUUAACGGGGCUUCCAGCACCAACCUUUCUCUCCGUUAAAGUUAAAGUUAACUCCAUGUUAACGGAUAGUUAAAAGAUAUCGGAACUUUGAGCAACCGGCCCAUGAUCACAAAUCCACCUAACUAAACCACUACGUUCGUUAGUCUGAUACACACUCUAGAGCGGUUCAUGGAACACUGAAAGUUAUUCCAUUGGUAUAUUCUUCUAAAUUAUCCCAUAUAAUAUUGAUUAUCGUUGUAUACGCGACCGUGUGUGUUUUCCGUUACUGCAAAUCUACAUUGUAUCAAUUUUGUCGUACUUUUCUAUUUAACGUUUAUUGUUCUUUUUAAAUAAUAUUUUAUGUAAUCUUUUCUAUUUUCUAUCUUGAAUUUUAUGUGAUUUUAUAUUAAAGUAAUCUUACUUACAAGAA